GACGAACCACACAAACGUUAUUCGGAAUUACUGGGCUUAAAGGGUGCGUAGGCGGCGCAGAAAGUAGGGUGUGAAAUCCCUCGGCUCAACCGAGGAACUGCGCCCUAAACUACUGUGCUCGAGGGAGGUAGAGGUGAGCGGAACUUAGGGUGGAGCGGUGAAAUGCGUUGAUAUCCUAAGGAACACCGGUGGCGAAAGCGGCUCACUGGACCUCUUCUGACGCUGAGGCACGAAAGCUAGGGGAGCAAACGGG
rnacentral:rRNA from 1 species